GACGAACGCUGGCGGCGUGCCUAAUACAUGCAAGUAGAACGCAGUUGAGAACGGGUGAGUAAAGCGUAGGUAAAUGCCUGGUAGCGGGGGAUAACUAUUGGAAACGAUAGCUAAUACCGCAUAGUACCAGAUGGACCUGCGUUGUAUUAGCUAGUUGGUGGGGUAACGGCCCACCAAGGCAACGAUACAUAGCCGACCUGGGAUGGUGGUCGGCCACACUGGGACUGGGAACCGGCCCAGACUCCUUCGGGAGGCAGCAGUAGGGAAUCUUCGGCAAUGGGGGGAACCCUGACCGAACAACGCCGCGGGAGUGAAGAAAGGUUUCGGAUCGUAAAGCUCUGUUGUGAAGGAAGCGUUACUUAACCAGAAAGCGACGGCUAACUACGUGCCAGCAGCCGCGGUAAUAC
rnacentral:rRNA from 1 species